CUCCUUCCUAUGCCUAAAUCAAACACACUUAGCUCACUUCUGGACAAGUCUUUGUGGGUAAAUGCAGGAUAGGAAAACAGCUCACAGGAGGAACUGCUAAUUUGUGGUUGCUUAGCACUCAAAACAUGAGAUGAUAUAGAUUCUUCUUAAAUCUUACUUCAUAUAAUUUAAAUAGCCACAUGUUCCUGGCAGCUACCAAGUGGACAAACACAGACCUAGAGCACUGAUUGUCAAAGUGUGGUUUUUAGAGUAGCAGCAUCAUUUUGCAGCUUGAGAGUAGGUUGUACCCUACAUGUUGAAUCAGAACCUCUGUCUGCAGGGCCCAGCCCAAAGGGGUGCAACAAGCCCUUCAGGUGCUUCUGAUGUGCUCUCUUGUUCAUGAACCACUUGAACUAGAAUUACACAGAAUGUGUGGGAUCACAGCUCUGGCUUCAACUAAAUUAGAUAAAAGAACCCCUGCUCAGAGGAACUGGAAAUGUCUCCACACAGUGACUGGAGUGUCACUAAUAAAAUACACCCAGUUCAGUGGUAUUAGGGAAAAGUUAUAUGAAAUGACAAACAUGUGUUUUCUCCAGAAAAGAGAAGGAAUUUCAUUCAUUUUGAUAUCUGAAAGCCUGAAAGUGGUUGCUCAUCCUAAAACACAAAAAGCAACUGUAACCUGUAAGAUGAUUUAGAACAUGCCAUUGAAGUGGAAAUAUAGCCUUUGAUACUAGAAGAAGAAAUAUGUAAAGGAAGGCCAAGAAAAACUAAAACCUAAAGAGAGCUAAGCAUUCCAAAACUAUAC
rnacentral:lncRNA from 1 species